GCUGGGGCUGAGGGAGGCAGAGUAGAGGGGAAGGCAGGCUGGAGGAGAGGCAGGGACAGGGAGAGCCAAGGCCGGGAUAGGAGCUCCGAGGCUGGGGGCAAGGGGGAUGACGGGCCAGGGGAGGCUGGGAGGGGGAAAGAGUGAAGGUGAGAGGGCGGGGUGGGCCCGGAAACCAGGCUAAGGUGGGGAGGCUGAGGAGAGGCCAUGAUUAAGAUGCCAUAGCUGGAGAGGAGGGCUAGGUGGGCUAAAAAUGAGGGAUGACGUGGGAAUAAUGUGUCUCGUGGAGGAGUAGGAUGCCAGGUAGGAAAGAAAGUGAUAGUGAGACUAGGUUGGCAGGAGUCUAUAUAGACAAAUAUAUUACUUUUCCUGGAUAGAAAUGCUGCAUGAGUGUCAGAGACAACAGUUCUGAAGCUGUGGAGGAUGUCUAGAAGCAGUUCAGGUAUAAGAACUAGCAGGGGAUGAGACAGGUAGCAGGACAACUAGAGACCAAAAUAUAAGCAGACAGACAACAAUUCAGUAUUCCAGCUUUAGAGUGCGCAGUCUUUUUUUUUCCCUUUUCCUGUCAUGGAUGUAAUGCUGGUUUGGACAGCGGCCGAUGUCCAAUCAGACAACAGGACCGUAGGCCUUGUCAUAAUGACAACCAUGACAUCACUGCAAGGGCUAGCGGAAAGAAGACAGCGGAGCUCCAGACAGACAGCGGGGCUCCACGGGGCUGCACGCCGGACAAAGCGAGCCGGCUGCCGGAUAGAAACCGCGCGGACUACCGGGGAUGGGGGGAAAGGCGCGGAGAGUGCCGGGUGGACGUUGCACGGCCGGCGUCGGGAGCUCUGUCCCGGACAAGUUGAGGCUUCCUCGCCGGGGGGAAGCGAGAGGAAGAUAUGGAGGAGGUUGAGCGAAAUGGCAUCUUGUUUAAUUUCUGCCAAUCAAGACGAGAGGAAGACAACUCCCAAACUGGCAUGACCUAACUGGAGAGUGAAGACACGAUCAAGAGACCGGGACAAUGCGUGAACCGGAUGGCAAUUGGGAACUGAGGAGCAGCGGCUGCUGUAAUCUCCAGUGUUCAAUUAGCUACACUGACCGGGACGCCACCUACACUUCAUUAACAGCGAGUGGAAGGUGGAACAUCAAGCCAGUAGGAGUACAAGAGAUGGAGAGUAAAUGAGAGCUUGCUGUCAGUGGUGUGAGCAGUUUGCAGGUGAAGCAAACUGAAUUAAAUUGAAUCAAGCUGAACUGAUCUGAACCGGAAUGACCUGACCUGAACUGAAACGAAUUCUUCAGCUGGACAGGACACACGGCUCUCUGAGGAUUUGGGAAAAAAAAUGUUCAGGCAGAGAAAAACUUUGAAGGACUACACAUGAAAACCUUCUUUGCCUGUUGUUUUGGGGGAUUUUCCAUGCUAUAUUGCCUGUGUUUUCACAUUUACAUUAUGUUGUAUGACAUGGAUUAAACUUGUAUGGAUUUUGACACUGUGCAAUGUCAGCUUUCAUAUGUGUUUUGUCUUCGUUUUAUCAUAAACACAAUGAAAAAUUUACAUUAGAAACCUGCAGUGCCACUGUACAUUUUUGGCGAAGGGUUGGUAAUAACAACGGGUAUGUCCCUUUAACACCUGAAGGAAUCAUCCUAAAGUAAAAGUCUGAAACUACAUCCACACUAAUAUAGUUUUGUUUUAAAACUUUUGCUACAGUUUCACCUAGCAUCCAUCCACACUGUUAUGGUGUUUCCAAACCCCAAAAACUGAGACUUGAAAAUGCUGCUGACCCUAUUUUAGUUUGAAAAUUUUAGUGUGGACAGGCAGAAACAGAGACUUUUAAAAACACUGAUGCAGACACCCAUAUUCACUUCCUGAUUGUGUCUUAUCAGUCACAAUUUGUCAAACUAAAACAUUAUAGCAAGGCCUAUAUACCUUUUGUGAUUUCAUUCUUUUUUUGUGUGGGUUUUUCUUUCCCAUUGCAAUGGCUUCCUCCGGUGAUCAAAAAUGCUUCUGGUACUGCUCAAAAAUGACGCCGUAAUUGCUUUGCAACUAAUCUGUUUUCUGCCUUAUACCAAUGUGUUACUUUCAGCAACAGUUCGACCUCUUGGUUGGAUGACGCAAAGAACUUUUACUCUAUAGUAUUUUCUGUAACUAAUCAACCAACCAACAAUUUGCUUCCUGUUUCUUCUGGAAUGCACAUGCCCAGUGUACGUGAAUGGUCAUGUGAUACUUGUUUUCACGCGUGUGAGUAUGGACAGAAAUUAUUUCUAAAAUGGUGCUAAAAUGCUCAUGGGUACAGAGAUUGUUUUCAUUUUAAAACGCUGUUUUGAAAUGAAAUCAUAUUUGUGUGGAUGUAGCCUGAUGCUAUUGGAGCCCUAACCUGAGAACUUCUUGACUAAGAACCUGAGUUCCUCACACUCAUGGUCAGGAGAACACUAAGGUUUGCUCUGCUUUUAAUAGAAGUUUCAAGAAGUCACACAUUAUCUUCUAAAUGUAUCUUUUGUGUGUUAUGACGGUCAGUUUUACAUGGCUAGCAUGGCAUUUCUGUUAAAAAAAAAAACAAAAAACGGCAAUCUACAAGUUCAGGAUGAAGGAACAGAAGCAAAACUUUUUUUUAUUUUAGACCAAACGUUUCCAAAACUAUUAGUUUAUUGUGAUAUUUAUGUUCUGAGUAUUUAUAUCAAAUGUGCACAUUCGAACAUCAGAGCAGCUAUAAUCGAUUUUUUUCCCCCCAUAACAAUGUAUUAGAUGACAAUUUUAAAAGCUUUGCUUAUUGAUAUGAUCCUACAGAGAUUUAUAACCUGAAUCUGCAGCUCCCCUCAGCUUUAUGGACCAUAUGGUUAAUGACUGUAUCUGGUGAACAUAGUGGGGCAUUUAGCAGCUAAAGAGACACAUACUGUAUUACCGUCAGGAGUUGGUAGAGACCAAAAGCAGAGCUAAAAGAGACUCACUAGUGGACUUGCAUUCAUCAGGUGGACACAAACAUAACUCCACAUGAGUGAUCAUGUUGCUCUGUAACUGUUGGAUGUGCACAUCAGCAACCAUUUGCUAACACAUUCUCUAUAUCAGCUUAAUAUGUGAUACGUUGAUUUUCUGUUAAAGUCUUUUUAGACUGCCCCCAAGUGGCACAAACAAGCAAACAAACAAACAAAAAACAUUAGCACAUUAGCCUUUUUCUUACACAAAGUUUCCCAUGAGUCUUUCUGAAAAGCUGUGACAUGUUUCUUUCUGUCUACACUUGAAGCUGAAUGUGUAUCUACUAAUGCGCUGGACAGUAAAACUAAAGCACCUUGUCAUUUUAUGUAACCUGUUUAUGUAAAAUGUAGUUAAGGUUUAAUG